rnacentral:lncRNA from 15 species
GUUCGUUUGGGAUCACAGAGUGGGAAAUGCAGGCGUGACACUCCAAACACGUCUCAUUUUUCAUCACUAACUACAGUCGCUAAGGAGUCUGUAUCAAAGAGAGGCCGAUUGUUGAUGUUCAGGACUGCAAACCGCAGAGUCUUAGUGGUCAAUAUGUACUUGUUUACAUGUUGCUGAAAUCGGGAGUCAAUUUUUUGGAAGGCCACAGAGGCCCUUUUAAAGCUGCAAGUUCUUCCUUUGUUUUCAUGAAUUCUUAUUCAGGGUGGUGGAAUUAAAGUGGUGAAUAAUACAUGGCUGAAAGCAUCCAUCUCUCUGAGUUGCCUUUCU